UAUCACCAGGGUCUAAUGUGAUUUUGAGUUCAGAAUCCACCUAUAAAUUGAAAGUGGAAGCUGAACAGUCUUGUAAGAAGGAGGAGAGAAUCCAUUAGUUUGUUCAACAAAUAUUUAUCAACUGGCAGCUGAGCUACUUCUCGGCAAUAGAGGGAGGCACGAAGCCAAGUGCCUCUCUUAUGGGCCGUUCUCACCCAGGGAGUGGGGAGAGAUAGAUUAGAGUGAGUGUGUGUAUAGCUAUGGACAGAUAUGGGGUGUGCUGUGAAGAAGGCAUGGAGAAGCCGAGAGUGCUGGAGGACCAUCAGCAACUCAAAGGCAGCUGCAUCUGCCCAGCCCAGCCCAGCCCAGCGUGAGCGGCAAUCACAAACUGGCAUCUGCAUUCUUGGGGCUCCUGCUGGACUCACUAAAGUGCUCACUGCCUCACUAUGUUUGGAGCCCAGGGAGCCUUGAGGAGGGACUCUGUGAUGCAGAACUAGCUCUAUCAGCUUUCUGAACCUUCUAUCUCCCCCAGAAGUAAAUGCUUGAAUCCAGAAGGAUUUACACAAUACAAGCCUUUAACAAAAUAAAAUUUCUGAAUAAAA